GAUUCUGCCCUACGGGGAAGGAUGAGAAGCUUCGACCAAGAUUCGACUCGAGCGUAGCGAGAGAACGUUGCCGCAGGCAACGGCCCGAAGGGCGAGGAGCGAUAGCGACGAGUUAUCCUUCCCCCACCACCA
rnacentral:sRNA from 1 species